CGUGUGGUUCUAUUUUGUUGGUUAUGGGACCGCCGUAAUGAUUAAUAGGGACAGUCGGGGGCAUCAGUAUUCAAUUGUCAGAGGUGAAAUUCUUGGAUUUAUUGAAGACUAACUACUGCGAAAGCAUUUGCCAAGGAUGUUUUCAUUAAUCAGGAACGAAAGUUAGGGGAUCGAAGACGAUCAGAUACCGUCGUAGUCUUAACCAUAAACUAUGCCGACUAGGGAUCGGGCGAUGUUACUUUUUGACUCGCUCGGCACCUUACGAGAAAUCAAAGUUUGUGGGUUCCUGGGGGAGUAUGGUGGCAACGCUGAAACUUAAAGAAAUUGACGGAAGGGCACCACCAGGGGUGGAGCCUGCGGCUUAAUUUGACUCAACACGGGGAAACUCACCAGGCCCAGACACAAUGAGGAUUGACAGAUUGAGAGCUCUUUCUUGAUUUUGUGGGUGGUGGUGCAUGGCCGUUCUUAGUUGGUGGAGUGAUUUGUCUGCUUAAUUGCGAUAACGAACGAGACCUUAACCUGCUAAAUAGCCCGUGUUGCUUCUGCAGCACGCCGGCUUCUUAGAGGGACUAUCGGCUCAAGCCGAUGGAAGUUUGAGGCAAUAACAGGUCUGUGAUGCCCUUAGAUGCUCUGGGCCGCACGCGCGCGACACUGACAGGGCCAGCGAGUUCUCCCUUGUCCGAAAGGACCGGGUAAUCUUGUUAAACCCUGUCGUGC
rnacentral:rRNA from 1 species